rnacentral:misc_RNA from 1 species
GUUCGAGCGUCAUUUCAACCCUCAAGCUCAGCUUGGUCUUGGGCCCUGCCGGCAACGGCUGGCCUUAAAACAGUGGCGGUGCCUCGAGCUCUACGCGUAGUAAUUAAACCCUCGCGAUGGAGCCUCGGUGGACGCUGGCCAGCAACCCCCAAUUUUCUAUGGUUGACCUCGGAUCAGGUAGGGAUACCCGCUGAACUUAA